UUAGGUUAAGUUAUUAAGGGCGCACGGUGAAUGCCUUGGCACUAGGAGCCGAUGAAGGACGGUACUAACACCGAUAUGCUUCGGGGAGCUGUAAGUAAGCUUUGAUCCGGAGAUUUCCGAAUGGGGGAACCCACUGCUCGUAAUGGAGUAGUAUCUUGACGUGAAUACAUAGCGUCUUGAUGGCAUACCCAGGGAACUGAAACAUCUAAGUACCUGGAGGAAGAGAAAGAAAUUAUUCGAUUCCCUAAGUAGCGGCGAGCGAAACGGGAAGAGCCCAAACCAAGAGGCUUGCCUCUUGGGGUUGUAGGACACUCUAUACGGAGUUACAAAAGAAUGAACUAGGCGAAGCGAUCUGGAAAGGUCCGCCAUAGCGGGUAAAAGCCCUGUAGUCGAAAGUUCAUUCCCUCUUGAGUGUAUCCUGAGUACGGCGGAACACGUGAAAUUCCGUCGGAAUCCGGGAGGACCAUCUCCCAAGGCUAAAUACUCCCUAGUGACCGAUAGUGAACCAGUACCGUGAGGGAAAGGUGAAAAGCACCCCGGGAGGGGAGUGAAAUAGAACCUGAAACCGUGUGCCUACAAGUAGUUAGAGCCCGUUAAUGGGUGAUAGCGUGCCUUUUGUAGAAUGAACCGGCGAGUUACGAUUACGUGCAAGGUUAAGUUGAGAAGACGGAGCCGCAGCGAAAGCGAGUCUGAAUAGGGCGAAUGAGUACGUGGUCGUAGACCCGAAACCAGGUGAUCUACCCAUGUCCAGGGUGAAGGUGAGGUAACACUCACUGGAGGCCCGAACCCACGCACGUUGAAAAGUGCGGGGAUGAGGUGUGGGUAGCGGAGAAAUUCCAAUCGAACUUGGAGAUAGCUGGUUCUCUCCGAAAUAGCUUUAGGGCUAGCCUCGUGAUUGAGAAUACUGGAGGUAGAGCACUGUUUGGACUAGGGGGGCAUCUCGCUUUACCGAAUUCAGACAAACUCCGAAUGCCAGAUAUUUAUACACGGGAGUCAGACUGCGAGUGAUAAGAUCCGUAGUCAAAAGGGAAACAGCCCAGACCACCAGCUAAGGUCCCAAAGUAAUCGUUAAGUGGAAAAGGAUGUGGCGUUGCUUAGACAACCAGGAUGUUGGCUUAGAAGCAGCCAUCAUUUAAAGAGUGCGUAAUAGCUCACUGGUCGAGUGACGCUGCGCCGAAAAUGUAUCGGGGCUAAACGAUUCACCGAAGCUGUGGAUG
rnacentral:rRNA from 1 species